UACGGGGGGAGCAAGCGUUGUUCGGAUUUACUGGGCGUAAAGGGCGCGUAGGCGGCCAGCGCAAGUCAGUUGUGAAAUCUCCGGGCUUAACUCGGAACGGUCAACUGAUACUGCGCGGCUAGAGUGCAGAAGGCGCAACUGGAAUUCUCGGUGUAGCGGUGAAAUGCGUAGAUAUCGAGAGGAACACCUGCGGCGAAGGCGGGUUGCUGGGCUGACACUGACGCUGAUGCGCGAAAGCCAGGGGAGCGAACGGG
rnacentral:rRNA from 1 species